UGGGGAAUAUUGCACAAUGGGCGCAAGCCUGAUGCAGCCAUGCCGCGUGUAUGAAGAAGGCCUUCGGGUUGUAAAGUACUUUCAGCGAGGAGGAAGGCGGUAAGGUUAAUAACCUUAUCGAUUGACGUUACUCGCAGAAGAAGCACCGGCUAACUCCGUGCCAGCAGCCGCGGUAAUACGGAGGGUGCAAGCGUUAAUCGGAAUUACUGGGCGUAAGGCGCACGCAGGCGGUCUGUCAAGUCGGAUGUGAAAUCCCCGGGCUCAACCUGGGAACUGCAUUCGAAACUGGCAGGCUAGAGUCUUGUAGAGGGGGGUAGAAUUCCAGGUGUAGCGGUGAAAUGCGUAGAGAUCUGGAGGAAUACCGGUGGCGAAGGCGGCCCCCUGGACAAAGACUGACGCUCAGGUGCGAAAGCGUGGGGAGCAAACA
rnacentral:rRNA from 1 species